rnacentral:pre_miRNA from 1 species
CGAUCCUCCGUCUACACCUGUAGAAUAUGUCCUACAGUGGUCGUCGGUGGAUGGGC